UGAUACUAAGCCAUGCGAGUCAUUGUAGCAAUACAAGGCAUACGGCUCAGUAACGCGUAGUCAACCUAACCUAUGGACGGGAAUAACCUCGGGAAACUGAGAAUAAUGCCCGAUAGAACAUUAUGCCUGGAAUGGUUUAUGUUCCAAAUGAUUUAUCGCCGUAGGAUGGGACUGCGGCCUAUCAGUUUGUUGGUGAGGUAAUGGCCCACCAAGACUAUUACAGGUACGGGCUCUGAGGGGAGUAGCCCGGAGAUGGGUACUGAGACACGGACCCAGGCCCUAUGGGGCGCAGCAGGCGAGAAAACUUUGCAAUGUGCGAAAGCACGACAAGGUUAAUCCGAGUGGUUUCUGCUAAAGGAACCUUUUGUCAGUCCUAGAAACACUGAUGAAUAAGGGGUGGGCAAGUUCUGGUGUCAGCCGCCGCGGUAAAACCAGCACCUCAAGUGGUCAGGAUGAUUAUUGGGCCUAAAGCAUCCGUAGCCGGCUCUGUAAGUUUUCGGUUAAAUCUGUACGCUCAACGUACAGGCUGCCGGGAAUACUGCAAAGCUAGGGAGUGGGAGAGGUAGACGGUACUCGGUAGGAAGGGGUAAAAUCCUUUGAUCUAUUGAUGACCACCUGUGGCGAAGGCGGUCUACCAGAACACGUCCGACGGUGAGGGAUGAAAGCUGGGGGAGCAAACCGGAUUAGAUACCCGGGUAGUCCCAGCUGUAAACCAUGCAAACUCAGUGAUGCAUUGGCUUGUGGCCAAUGCAGUGCUGCAGGGAAGCCGUUAAGUUUGCCGCCUGGGAAGUACGUACGCAAGUAUGAAACUUAAAGGAAUUGGCGGGGGAGUACCACAAGGGGUGAAGCCUGCGGUUCAAUUGG
rnacentral:rRNA from 1 species